rnacentral:rRNA from 1 species
UACGGAGGGUGCAAGCGUUAUCCGGAUUCACUGGGUUUAAAGGGUGCGUAGGCGGACAGGUAAGUCAGUGGUGAAAUCUCUGGGCUUAACUCAGAAACUGCCGUUGAUACUAUUUGUCUUGAAUAUCAUGGAGGUAAGCGGAAUAUGUCAUGUAGCGGUGAAAUGCUUAGAUAUGACAUAGAACACCAAUAGCGAAGGCAGCUUACUACGCCUAUAUUGACGCUGAGGCACGAAAGCGUGGGGAUCAAACAGG